GAUCCUGCCAGUAGUCAUAUGCUUGUCUC
rnacentral:ncRNA from 3 species